AAAGAGAUUAUACCUCAAGCAAGUUGCUAAAAAGCAAAGCAAAGCAAGUUCAGAGAACUUAAGCAACUAAGGGUACCUGAAAAAGUCAAGCUAAUCAGUAAACAGUUCAACAGUUCAAAUCAAAAGGAAGUGAAUCAAACAGUUAGAUCAAUAAACAGAAGUGCAAAAGCACCAAACCCAACCCAUAUGAGUCAUACCACCUACAAAAC
rnacentral:lncRNA from 1 species